GGAAAUCUGUGAUGUACGAGUUGUCUCUUUUGUGUGUUGACCGAACAUUUUUAUUGAUAUUUCGGGAUCUAUUUCAUGUCAGAACGGGUAGCAUGCCUUCUCAUUUGGUAGCUCAAUGUUCAGACCGUAGAACCCACCUGCUUAGAUUGCGGGAUCAAUACUAUAGGACGAAGAACGGCAUCGACGGAGAUUAC
rnacentral:other from 2 species